ACGUGUAAAUUGAAGUACCCGAAAUACCCUCCCAUACAAACUUAAUCUAAUGGUGGUAGAUAAAGUGAAAUAAUGAAUGGUGGAAAUUCAACACUGACAGCACCAUCUCCCGUUCUUCCUAUUGCUUCUAAUCUUCAAAACCCUAUAAAACAAACUCAACGGAAACAGCUGCAGAUGCAGAUCUCCUUCUCUUCUACUCGAUUUCAACAUCAACAACCAUUCAUAUAUCUCAUAUUCAGAAGCGAACCAAAAUCAAAUCUAACUACAAACCAAUCUUUGUUAACUAAUUUCUCAGCAUCAAACUAUAUUCAUCUUCGAAAUCUCUCUUUUCUGCUCGGAAACAACACACAAGACCCCUUCAAUCAUCAUCAAACCCAUUUCAGUUCCGAAAUCAAACAUAACCCAUGUUUCAUUAACCUCUACUUUGUUUUACUUAUUAUCGUCUGCCCGUUUUAUAUGCACGAAAACAUUACACACUUCUAUUAUUUAAUUGAAAAGGGUGACUCCUAAGCUGGCACCAACCCGUCAAUACCCACAUAGGCAACUCCUAAGUUGACACCAAUACUGCCCACAUGACUACUCCUAAUAUGAAGCAACUAUGAUCAUAGAUAUGCUGGUGGUUAACUCUGUGGAUUUAGAGGUUAAUUAAUACAAAUGUAGAUGGGAAGUGGUUAGUGUUGGCAAUCAGAAAUUAUCAGCAGUUAGGAUUAAGCUAAUGGAAGUAAAAGACGAUCUCUUUAUAUGGCAUUUUUUGUGGCUUAGAUGUAGCUCGCAAAUUAUAAUAUGGUUCUAAAGAUAUGAUUCUAUGGUUGUUCUUAUUAGUAUUAGCACCAGAAUCUAUGGUUGUUCUUAUUCGUAUUAGCAAGGGCAAGUUGUCUCAGAAUUUGGCUAAAAACGUAUGAUUUUGGUUUGGUGUAUUCGCACCAUGUUCGUUUAGCUUUUGUAAAUCUUUAUGGCUUUGUGGGAGUUGAUUCUGAUGUAAAAGAAUGUUUAUAAAAAUUCUUGACUGUAUACACUUACGUUGUACUACUUCUGAGGAUACACUAAUGUAUGUGCACAUAACUUUUGAUUUCCAGCUGCAAUUUCCAUUGUUUGUACUUAACUAAUACUAGAAUUUCAUUGACAUUAAUGGAUAUAAGUUUUGGACUAAGAUCAUACAAAAUGCCUCUCUCGCUCGAACCUGUUCUAUGAUCCUCAAAUCUAGUUUUCUGGAUCUUCAAUUCACGAAAAACUAUGUAUUAUCUCAAUCAUCUGUUGUUCAUGUUGCAGUGUUCACAGUAUUCUUUCAAUUUUCUGGAAAAUCUCAUUGGAGGAUUCUUUCUUGACAUCUCUCAUAUUAGGGGCAAUAGAUAGGACCUCUAGAGGGAGGUCUGCAAUCAAGAUUGGAAGCAGGAAUGUUGUCGCUAUGGAUCGAAAG